rnacentral:rRNA from 1 species
CGGUUGAUCCUGCCGGAACUGACUGCUAUCGGAUUGAUACUAAGCCAUGCGAGUCAUUGUAGCAAUGCAAGGCAGACGGCUCAGUAACGCGUAGUCAACCUAACCUAUGGACGGGAAUAACCUCGGGAAACUGAGAAUAAUGCCCGAUAGAACACUAUACCUGGAAUGGUUUGUGUUCCAAAUGAUUUAUCGCCGUAGGAUGGGACUGCGGCCUAUCAGUUUGUUGGUGAGGUAAUGGCCCACCAAGACUAUUACAGGUACGGGCUCUGAGAGGAGUAGCCCGGAGAUGGGUACUGAGACACGGACCCAGGCCCUAUGGGGCGCAGCAGGCGAGAAAACUUUGCAAUGUGCGAAAGCACGACAAGGUUAAUCCGAGUGGUUUCUGCUAAAGGAACCUUUUGUUAGUCCUAGAAACACUAACGAAUAAGGGGUGGGCAAGUUCUGGUGUCAGCCGCCGCGGUAAAACCAGCACCUCAAGUGGUCAGGAUGAUUAUUGGGCCUAAAGCAUCCGUAGCCGGCUCUGUAAGUUUUCGGUUAAAUCUGUACGCUCAACGUACGGGCUGCCGGGAAUACUGCAGA